rnacentral:tRNA from 1 species
GCAGAGGUGGCUGAGCUGGUCGAAGGCGCACGAUUGGAAAUCGUGUAACGUGUUAAAAGCGUUCAAGGGUUCGAAUCCCUUCCUCUGCGCCA